UACGGAGGGUGCGAGCGUUACCCGGAUUUACUGGGGGUAAAGGGCGUGUAGGCGGUCUCUCAAGUCCGAUGCUAAAGACCGAAGCUCAACUUCGGGGGUGCGUUGGAUACUGUGAGGCUAGACGGUCGGCGGGGGUAGCGGAAUUUCCGGAGUAGCGGUGAAAUGGGCAGAUACCGGAAGGAACGCCGAUAGCGAAGGCAGCUACCUGGACGAUUGGUGACGCUGAGGCGCGAAAGCGUGGGGAGCAAACCGG
rnacentral:rRNA from 1 species